UUAAAUAGCAAGAAUUUUAUGUUAACAGAUUCAUUUCUUAAUUUUGGGAAUGAAAAUCUCAUUUUAUUAAAGUAAAGUGUAUAUAUGUAUUUAUUAAUGCCCAAAUGGGCUGGCCACAUUAGCAAAUCAAUUAGGAGUUCUAUCUUCUAAUUGCAUAAAGAGGUUUCUAGAAUUUUUAAUGCACCAUACAGUCGAAUAAGGAUAACUACAUGUGUUUAUUUGAAUUGAAGAAAGUCAUUUCCUUUACUUCUCCUCAUACAGUCGACCAUUUCCCCUAAAACAAAAUUCACCAUUUUCUUAUCUUCAAGCUCAAUUUUGUGAGGAAUUUCAAGCAACAACCACAAUAGUUUGAGGAAAAGGUUCGAGUGGCAGUGUAGAAUGAACAAGCAAAGACUUUUACUUCAUUAAGUAUAUCAGGUUAAGCUGUGGUGUAGAUGGAAGCGAGCAGAGCAAAUUCUUUGAUGUAUACGUAUUAAACUAGGCUCAGGAUUCCAUGUCUUCAUACAUGUAAUCCACAUGAAUUAUUCCGCUGCAACACUUAGUCUAUUCUACUCUAUUGAUGUGUUGUACAUAUUUUAAAUCAAUAGCUUUGAGAAUUAUGUCACUUGAAAGUUAGACAACUUGUCGUUGUGUAUUGUAAGUUGUCUACUCAUGAGUUUUAAAAGUGAUUGCUUAUGAUUAUCCAAUAUUAAAGUAAUUCAUCGUUAAA